CAAGGAAUAUUGGGCAAUGGCCGAAAGGCUGACCCAGCGACGCCGCGUGGGGGAUGAAGGCCCUCGGGUCGUAAACCCCUUUUCUCAGGGACGAAGAUGACGGUACCUGAGGAAGAAGCCCCGGCUAACUACGUGCCAGCAGCCGCGGUAAUACGUAGGGGGCGAGCGUUGUCCGGAAUUACUGGGCGUAAAGCGCGCGUAGGUGGUCCGCCAAGUUCGGCGUGAAAUCUCCAGGCUCAACUUGGAGGGGUCGUCGAAGACUGACGGACUAGGGUCUGGCAGAGGCAGGUAGAAUUCCCGGUGGAGCGGUGAAAUGCGUAGAGAUCGGGAGGAAUACCAGUGGCGAAGGCGGCCUGCUGGGCCACGACCGACACUGAGGUGCGAAAGCGUGGGGAGCGAACCGGAUUAGAUACCCGGGUAGUCCACGCCCUAAACGAUGGGUACUAGGCGUGGGGGGUAUCGACCCCCUCUGUGCCGCAGCUAACGCGAGAAGUACCCCGCCUGGGGAGUACGGCCGCAAGGUUG
rnacentral:rRNA from 1 species